AGUUAAGUGACGAUAGCCUAGGAGAUACACCUGUUCCCAUGCCGAACACAGAAGUUAAGCCCUAGUACGCCUGAUGUAGUUGGGGGUUGCCCCCUGUUAGAUAUGGUAGUCGCUUAGCGU
rnacentral:rRNA from 1 species